rnacentral:lncRNA from 1 species
AGUGGUUAUAAUUAAGGAGUUAAUCUUUAGGAAGUAAGGUUAAGGUAGUUAACUUGAGAUACAUGAGCAUUAUGUCUCGAAUGAUACUACUUUGGAAUAGUUGACUGAUUGUUACCUUUUGUAAUUAAGUGUGAAGAACGUCUGGUCCGCCACUUCUCUCUUCUUCCCAAUCAGAGCAAUCUUUAUGCAAGAGUUCAGUUAUAAGAGCCACCAACAUAGUAAACUUUCAACAAGAAUCCUCAAAGCGAGGAUGGCUUUGGCCAAUCCACCAUAUCCUCUAUUUUUUUGGGUAUGCAGAAACGAUGUGACCAAGAUAAGCAAUGAGUUGUUUGCAAAACUACACAUGACAUCUUGACAAUAAAAUUAUUACAAGUUAAAACCUUUUGAAGAUGGUCAAUGUGAAAGUCUUU